CUUGUCUCCAGUUAAAGACGGCGAAGGUCACCUGAGUGACCAACAAACGUAUCACGAUCGGAUACGACGACUGGCAUCGGGCUGUACCAACAGUGGAGUAGCAUAGCGCAUUGGCCCCUGACAUUGGUCACGUCGAUCGGACCUAUUGCUCUAUGUAAUGGAAGUCUUGGAAAGCGAUGCCAGAUGAGGUGACGACGAUGGUGCAUGAUUAUUUGUCGGUACAAGCAAUGGAAAAGCGACCUGCACCAAUAUUUUCAAACAUUUGAUGAUCCGCAAAUCGCUCUUGAGGAGGGUGCCCGAAGAAGUUUGAGGACCAAGAAGAAAAUUGGGUGUGCCUCUGCAAUCAUUUUCAGGAGCCCGACUAUGUGAAGAAGAUGAAAGCCAACAAGAUCAAUCAGGAGAAGAAGACUCUUCUCCACCAUUCAGGUUCAAGGACUUUCUCAUAUAGAAUAGAGGCGCAACGACAGG